rnacentral:rRNA from 1 species
CCUACGGGUGGCAGCAGUGAGGAAUAUUGGUCAAUGGACGCAAGUCUGAACCAGCCAUGCCGCGUGAAGGAAGACGGCUCUAUGAGUUGUAAACUGCUUUUGUACGAGGGUAAACGAAGAUACGCGUAUCUGUCUGAAAGUAACGUGCGAAUAAGGAUCGGCUAACUCCGUGCCAGCAGCCGCGGUAAUACGGAGGAUUCAAGCUUUAUCCGGAUUUAUUGGGUUUAAAGGGUGCGUAGGCGGUCGGAUAAGUUAGAGGUGAAAUCCCGAGGCUCAACUUCGGAAUUGCCUCUGAUACUGUUCGGCUAGAGCGUAGUUGCGGUAGGCGGAAUGUGUGGUGUAGCGGUGACAUGCUU